rnacentral:lncRNA from 1 species
UUUGUCUUCAGUGCACAUGCUCCAAGAUGAAUGAGGUGAAAGUUUGUCUUCAGUGCACAUGCUUCCAGUUGAAUGAGUGAAAGUUUGUCUUCAGAGCACAUGCUUCCAGCUGAAUGAGUGAAAGUUUGUCUUCAGUGCACAUGCUCCCAGCUGAAUGAGGCGAAAGUUUGUCUUCAGUGCACAUGCUCCCAGCUGAAUGAGGUGAUGCUCGGCCUUCUGGUUUUAACUCAUACUGUAAGCAACUGUUUUCUUUUCACAGUUUAUUUUUUAUUUUUUAUUUUAUUUUAUUUUUUGAGACGGAGUCUCGCUCUUUGGCCCAGGCCAGAGUGCAGUGGCGCAGUCUUGCCUCACCGCAAGCUCCGCCUCCCGGCAUGAACCCUCAGCCUCCCUUGUAGCUGGGACUACAUUCACAGUUUAUUUAGUGCCACUUUUUUCGCCGCAUUUUUAUGCUUUUUGUUGGUGAUUUCACUGUUUAAAAUAGCCUCAAGCACAGUGCGGAAGUGCUGCUUAGCGUUCCUGAGAGCAAGAAGGCUGUGAGGUGCCUUUCGGAGAAAACACGCAUUAGAUAAGCUUCAUUCAGACAUGAGUUACAGUGCCGUUGGUCAUGUUACUUACUCUACAAUAUAUACUAAGUAAGGUGUCUUUAAACAGAAACAUACAUAAAACAAGGUUGUAUAUUGAUGGGGUGAUGCUGUGUCCUGAGGCUCACGGGAACCUAACGCGGUCUUUCCUCCAUGAGCGAUGGUUCACUGUUCACUAAUUCAAUGUUCGUGCUGAAAAAGAAAAAUGACAUCCUAAGCCCCUGAGCUGACUGAAUGGACUCCUUGUUGGCCAAGGGGGCGCCAGAGAAAUUUUAAAAGCUGAGUUCCUGGCCAUGAUGGAAUGGGGAGUUUGGACACGCCUUGUUAUACCCCCUCCCUCGCUAAUCGCCAUUAGACUUCCUUACGCGAGGGUCAAUCAGAAGCCACAGCCCUUUCCAAAGACUUGCCAGACUCCCCUUCCGUGGUUUUGACACAGUGACGAACCGGCAUUCCUUCCUGAUAAGAGACCACCGACCGUGGACUGCUUCUGGCCGGUGUACAGUGGCUGCACACGGGAUGCCUCUGCGCCCUCCAUUUCAUCUUCUACAUACAGACCUAAUUUUAGUGCAUUUAAACGUUAAGUGCUCACCCCAGAUUGAAUGUGGACGGACAUGCAUGCAUGUUUGCUCUCUAUGCAUGCAUCCAUCCAUCAUGAAUAACCUGUUAGAUACAUGUACUUAGCCAACCCAUUUGGCAUAAAUCCCUGUUCCAGCCUUUCCGCCCUCAAAGUGCCUGCUUUUGGUUUCUGCUUCCUAGCCUGCAAGAUGG